CAGAGUUGCAAAAACCCCCACAAACCAUCGCGAAUCUUACCCGUACGGUUGCCUCGGCGCUGGCGGUCCGGAAGGCCCUCGGGCCCCCCGGAUCCUCGGGUCUCCCGCUCGCGGGAGGCUGCCCGCCGGAGUGCCGAAACCAAACUCUUGAUAUUUUAUGUCUCUCUGAGUAAACUUUUAAAUAAGUCA
rnacentral:misc_RNA from 1 species